rnacentral:tRNA from 1 species
GCGAAUAUGAUGGAAUUGGUAGACAUGUCAAAUUUAGGCUUUGAUAAGAUUUCUUUUAGUGGUUCGAGUCCACUUAUUCGUA